GACGAACGCUGGCGGCGUGCUUAACACAUGCAAGUCGAACGGAAAGGCCUCUCUCGCGCGGUACUCGAGUGGCGGACGGGUGAGUAACACGUGAGUAACCUGCCCUUGACGUUGGGAUAACUUCGGGAAACGGGGGCUAUUACCCGAUAGGAGCUCCUGCUGCAUGGUGGGGGUUUGAGAGUUUCGGCGGUUGGGGAUGGACUGGCGGCUUAUCAGCUUGUUGGUGGGGUAGUGGGUUACCAAGGCUUUGACGGGUAGACUGCCUGAGAGUGUGAGCGGCCACAUUGGGACUGAGGUGAGGCACAGGCUGCUAAUGGAGGAAGAAGUGGGGAAUCUUGAACAAGGGGUGGCAGGCGGGUGAAGAAAGGCCGCGGGCGGGAUGGCGGCUUUCGGGUUGAAAAACGGCUUUGCUCAUGACGAAGGCUUGUGUGACGGUAGUGGGUAAAGAAGCACCGGCUAACUACGUG
rnacentral:rRNA from 1 species